rnacentral:rRNA from 1 species
AGAGUUUGAUCCUGGCUCAGGAUGAACGCUAGCGGCAGGCCUAACACAUGCAAGUCGAGGGGUAACAGAGAGUGCUUGCACUUUGCUGACGACCGGCCCACGGGUGCGUAACGCGUAUACAAUCUACCUUUUGCUGAGGGAUAGCCCAGAGAAAUUUGGAUUAAUACCUCAUGGUAUAUAGAAUUGGCAUCAAUUUUAUAUUAAAGGUUACGGCAAAAGAUGAGUAUGCGUCCUAUUAGUUAGUUGGUGUGGUAACGGCACACCAAGACAGCGAUAGGUAGGGGCCCUGAGAGGGGGAUCCCCCACACUGGUACUGAGACACGGACCAGACUCCUACGGGAGGCAGCAGUGAGGAAUAUUGGGCAAUGGAGGCAACUCUGACCCAGCCAUGCCGCGUGCAGGAAGACUGCCCUAUGGGUUGUAAACUGCUUUUAUACAGGAAGAAACGCUUCUACGUGUAGAGGUUUGACGGUACUGUAAGAAUAAGGAUCGGCUAACUCCGUGCCAGCAGCCGCGGUAAUACGGAGGAUCCAAGCGUUAUCCGGAAUCAUUGGGUUUAAAGGGUCCGUAGGUGGAUAAUUAAGUCAGAGGUGAAAUCCUGCAGCUCAACUGUAGAAUUGCCUUUGAUACUGGUUAUCUUGAGUCAUUAUGAAGUGGUUAGAAUGUGUAGUGUAGCGGUGAAAUGCAUAGAUAUUACACAGAAUACCGAUUGCGAAGGCAGAUCACUAAUAAUGUACUGACACUGAUGGACGAAAGCGUGGGAGCGAACAGGAUUAGGUACCCUGGUAGUCCACGCCGUAAACAAUGGUCACUAGCUGUGUGGAUUUCGAUCUGCGUGGCUAAGCGAAAGUGAUAAGUGACCCACCUGGGGAGUACGUUCGCAAGAAUGAAACUCAAAGGAAUUGACGGGGGCCCGCACAAGCGGCGGAGCAUGUGGUUUAAUUCGAUGAUACGCGAGGAACCUUACCAGGGCUUAAAUGUAGAGUGACAGGUCUAGAGAUAGAUUUUUCUUCGGACACUUUACAAGGUGCUGCAUGGUUGUCGUCAGCUCGUGCCGUGAGGUGUCAGGUUAAGUCCUAUAACGAGCGCAACCCCUGUUGUUAGUUGCCAGCGAAUAAAGUCGGGAACUCUAACAAGACUGCCGGUGCAAACCGCGAGGAAGGUGGGGAUGACGUCAAAUCAUCACGGCCCUUACGUCCUGGGCUACACACGUGCUACAAUGGUAGGUACAGAGAGCAGCCACUACGCGAGUAGGAGCGAAUCUAUAAAACCUAUCACAGUUCGGAUCGGAGUCUGCAACUCGACUCCGUGAAGCUGGAAUCGCUAGUAAUCGGAUAUCAGCCAUGAUCCGGUGAAUACGUUCCCGGGCCUUGUACACACCGCCCGUCAAGCCAUGGAAGUUGGGAGUGCCUGAAGUCCGUCACCGAGAGGAGCGGCCUAGGGUAAAAUCGAUAACUAGGGCUAAGUCGUAACAAGGUA